rnacentral:lncRNA from 1 species
CCAAAGAAAAUUUGUUCGGUGUGUUCCGGCUGGAGCAGCAACUUCAUCCUUAUGGCAACCCAUCGUCUUCUAAGCUCAGUGCUACACGUGCUGGAUAGACAUGUCCAAUUUGGGCAGUCCGACCAAUAUGGAUUUCAUCUUCAUCUUCCUCUUCUGUUGUCUUCCUAUAUACUGGAUUAUCGAAGUUCAUGCUUUUAGUGUUCUUCCGUUUCCAGUUUCUCCAGAUGAGGUAUCC